UGAAAUCCGUUCCAAAGCACGAUACUGAUGGC
rnacentral:piRNA from 2 species